rnacentral:snRNA from 1 species
GUUAGCUUCAACAGCACAUAUACUAAAAAAUUGGAAGGAUAUAGAGAAGAAUAACACGGCUUCCACAUAAGGAUGACAUGUGAAUUCAUGAAGCAUUCCAUACUGGC